rnacentral:rRNA from 1 species
GACGAACGCUGGCGGCGUGCUUAACACAUGCAAGUCGAGCGGUGCGGCGAACGGGUGAGUAACGCGUGAGUAACUGCCCCCCUCUCUGGGAUAACAGUUGGAAACGGCUGCCAAUACCUGAUAGCGGGGGAUGACUCGCGUCCUAUCGGCUUGUUGGUGGGGUAGGGGCCUACCAAGGCGACGCAGGGUAGCCGGCCUGGGAUGGGGACCAGCCACAUUGGUCUGAGAUACGACCCAGACUCGUACGGGGGGCAGCAGGGGGGAAUAUUGCACAAUGGGGGAAACCCUGAGGCAUCAACGCCGCGUGCGGGAUGACGGCCUUCGGGUUGUAAACCGCUUUCAGCCAUGACGCGGUAGUGGCAGAAGAAGCACCGGCUAACUACGUGCCAGCAGCCGCGGUAAUUC